rnacentral:rRNA from 1 species
AACGAACGCUGGCGGCAUGCCUAACACAUGCAAGUCGAACGGAUGUAGCAAUACAUUAGUGGCGCACGGGAUAGUAACGCGUGGGAAUCUGCCUCAUAGUUCGGAAUAACACCGGGAAACUGGUGCUAAUACCGGAUACGCCCUUCGGGGGAAAGUUUUUCGCUAUGAGAGGAGCCCGCGUUGGAUUAGCUAGUUGGUGAGGUAAUGGCUCACCAAGGCGACGAUCCAUAGCUGGUCUGAGAGGACGAUCAGCAUCACUGGGACUGAGACACGGCCCAGACUCCUACGGGAGGCAGCAGUGGGGAAUAUUGGACAAUGGGGGAAACCCUGAUCCAGCAAUGCCGCGUGGGUGAUGAAGGUCUUCGGAUUGUAAAGCCCUUUUGGCAGGGACGAUGAUGACGGUACCUGCAGAAUAAGCUCCGGCUAACUUCGUGCCAGCAGCCGCAGUAA